rnacentral:rRNA from 1 species
UACGGAGGGUGCAAGCGUUAUCCGGAUUCAUUGGGCGUAAAGGGUGCGUAGGCGGCGCGGUAAGUCGGGUGUGAAAUCUCGGAGCUUAACUCCGAAACUGCAUUCGAUACUGCCGUGCUUGAGGACUGGAGAGGAGACUGGAAUUUACGGUGUAGCGGUGAAAUGCGUAGAUAUCGUAAGGAAGACCAGUGGCGAAGGCGGGUCUCUGGACAGUUCCUGACGCUGAGGCACGAAGGCCAGGGGAGCAAACGGG